UCCCAUCUCCUCCUCUCUUUAACCAAUUAACCUUGCUCUCUUUCCCUCUCUGACCUCCACCACCAUUACAACCAUUACCACUAACCACCAUUUUCGUCACACUACCACCGACCCCAAACAACCACCAUAAGAAAAUCAACCUCUUCACCACCGCCGUCAGAAACGACGCUGGCGACGGGAUUGGGUGGUCGGCGACGGGAUUUGAGUGCCAAUCCAUCGAAUCGAUCUCAUCCUCUACCUCUAGAUCCGAGUUAAGCACGUGAUAGGAUUUGAUGGUCGGCGGUCGUUGAAAACCCUAGAUCUGAUUUCAGGUGCAGAAAAUCAUCGGAGCGAAGAACGGGCUGGUGAAGACGGCAGAAAACGAUGUAACGGGUGGUGGGUGAUGUAAUGUUUAGAUCUGAGCUAUUGAGGAAAUUUAGUUGGUAUAAUGUUGAGUGAUUAAUUUGUUAUAUCUGAACAACAAAAUGAUGAGUAUUCCAAUUUUCACAAAGCACGACCAUAUGCUAAAUACUAAACAGAAACCCCUUUUGAGCCAUAGAUGGUGAAUGAACAAUACAGUUUAGAUCAA